AGACUGAUGAAAAUUUUCCUCGCUUUACAAUUGCGUUCGUUUGUUAAAUACUCGUUAGAAACAUCGAGAAAGUUCCAAUCGCCGUUGCUGGGCAGUUUCUGCCUGGAGUUUGAUUAUUAAUGCAACGUGUGUCCCAUUAUAUUGGCACCUGCGAGGCAAAAUGUGCAUCCCGUGACCGUGGCUACGUUCGGCGACCUGUUGUGACACCUCGAGCCCAAUCUCACUAUCACAAAUCUCGAACAAUUACAAUCAGAUCGAAUGACGACAAUUGCUUAAUUACGGCUAUGAUAGAAUCUAGGCUAAAGUAUUAGAGGAUUUUCGCAAAAUUUCAAAGGAAAGGCUCGGCUUUCCUUUCAUCUCCGACAUAUAUAUACUUUAGCCAAUCGUCUU
rnacentral:misc_RNA from 1 species